GACCUGACUGCUAUCGGAUUGAUACUAAGCCAUGCGAGUCGUUGUAGCAAUACAAGGCAUACGGCUCAGUAACGCGUAGUCAACCUAACCUAUGGACGGGAAUAACCUCGGGAAACUGAGAAUAAUGCCCGAUAGAACAUUAUGCCUGGAAUGGUUUAUGUUCCAAAUGAUUUAUCGCCAUAGGAUGGGACUGCGGCCUAUCAGUUUGUUGGUGAGGUAAUGGCCCACCAAGACUAUUACAGGUACGGGCUCUGAGAGGAGUAGCCCGGAGAUGGGUACUGAGACACGGACCCAGGCCCUAUGGGGCGCAGCAGGCGAGAAAACUUUGCAAUGUGCGAAAGCACGACAAGGUUAAUCCGAGUGAUUUCUGCUAAAGAGAUCUUUUGUUAGUCCUAGAAACACUAACGAAUAAGGGGUGGGCAAGUUCUGGUGUCAGCCGCCGCGGUAAAACCAGCACCUCAAGUGGUCAGGAUGAUUAUUGGGCCUAAAGCAUCCGUAGCCGGCUCUGUAAGUUUUCGGUUAAAUCUGUACGCUCAACGUACAGGCUGCCGGGAAUACUGCAGAACUAGGGAGUGGGAGAGGUAGACGGUACUCGGUAGGAAGUGGUAAAAUGCUUUGAUCUAUCGAUGACCACCUGUGGCGAAGGCGGUCUACCAGAACACGUCCGACGGUGAGGGAUGAAAGCUGGGGGAGCAAACCGGAUUAGAUACCCGGGUAGUCCCAGCUGUAAACUAUGCAAACUCAGUGAUGCAUUGGCUUGUGGCCAAUGCAGUGCUGCAGGGAAGCCGUUAAGUUUGCCGCCUGGGAAGUACGUACGCAAGUAUGAAACUUAAAGGAAUUGGCGGGGGAGCACCACAAGGGGUGAAGCCUGCGGUUCAAUUGGAUUCAACGCCGGG
rnacentral:rRNA from 1 species